GCCUGUGUGGCCAAGUGGUUAAGGCAACGGCUUUACAUGCCGGGGGUCAUCGGUUCGACUCCGAUCAUGGGUA
rnacentral:tRNA from 1 species